rnacentral:pre_miRNA from 1 species
AAAGCUCUUGGGAAACAAUGUUGUAAGAGUUAACAAACAUUUUAUCUCGAGGGCUUAUG